CGAUGACCGUUCCUUUCACUGUCACAAGCCUUGGGCAGUGGGUUUUUGUGUCAUCGUAUAUUAAAAGUGGCUUUUCUUCACUCAGGGGAGUCAGGGACGGGUUUGGCUGUCCCAUGGCUCUUUUCUGAAUUUUGCGGAGUCUCACAUUC